rnacentral:rRNA from 1 species
UGUGUAGGCGGUUGCUUAAGUUUGGUGUGAAAUCUCCCGGCUCAACUGGGAGGGUGCGCCGAAUACUGAGUGACUCGAGUGCGGGAGAGGAGAGUGGAAUUCCUGGUGUAGCGGUGAAAUGCGUAGAUAUCAGGAGGAACACCGGUGGUGUAGACGGCUCUCUGGACCGUAACUGACGCUGAGACACGAAAGCGUGGGUAGCAAACAGGAUUAGAUACCCUGGUAGUCCACACCCUAAACGAUGCAUAUUUGGUGUGGGCAGUUCAGUCUGUCCGUGCCGGAGCUAACGCGUUAAAUAUGCCGCCUGGGGAGUACAGUCGCAAGGCUGAA